CCAAUGAUCUGAUAACAGGGAACUGAACUCAGAUUUUUUUUUAAUGAAAGCAGAACUUAUGUUGCAGUAUCUACCGAAUAUAAUGUCUAAGUUCUUUGCUAACUAUAGAUUAUAAUGAUACAUUUAUAACCAUCUACUUUGUUUUGUAUUUCAUCGUUUUCGAAGGAGCUCUGAAAGCUUUUGUCAAUUGAACUAGUAGACAUAUGCAGCUCGACCACUUUAUGCUUGUGAUAAAAGGAAGAAAAAUCCAACUUCAUUACAUUGUAGCAUAAAGAACCAUGCCUGUCACUAUGCCUCCAACCAGAGAUCAAAGAAAUCCUCUACGAAACCCUUUGGUUUACAGAACUUUGUCAAUCAGACUGUCAGUGUUUCGGAUUGUUAUCCAAGUAGCAAUCCCAAAUUUUGCUGGAUAUAUCAGAUCAUCUCCUGCUCCAUAGAUUAACAGUGCGGCUUCUUCCUGUUUACAAAGAUGGAAAAGUGGAAAAGAAGUGGUUAUUAUUUGGAAAGCCAAAAAAGAGCAUUGUUAUUGUAUCAAUAAAAGGAGACCAUAUGUCCACAUUCA